GACGAACGCUGGCGGCGUGCCUAAUACAUGCAAGUCGAACGCAGUGGGGACGGGUGAGUAACACGUGGGUAACCUCCCAUCAGAGGGGAUAACACUUGGAAACAGGUGCUAAACCGAUACUGAUGGAUGGAACUGCGGUGGAUGAGCUAGUUGGUGGGGUAAAGGCUCACCAAGGCCACGAUGCAUAGCCGGCCUGAGAGGACGACCAGCCACACUGGGACUGAGACACGGCCCAGACUCCUACGGGAGGCAGCAGUAGGGAAUCUUGGACAAUGGAGGAAAGUCUGACCCAGCAACGCCGCGUGGAUGAAGAAGGUCUUCGGGUCGUAAAGCUCUGUUGUUAGAGAAGCGGUAUCUAACGAGUAAGCAACGGCUAACUACGUGCCAGCCGCCGCGGUAAUAC
rnacentral:rRNA from 1 species